GCAGACUCACUCUGCACCCGACUGUAUCCCCAGGCGGGUGCUUUUUUCGUCUGCCAGAGAAACAUUUCGGGAUGCUGUGGCUGCCUUGACCUGUCAAGGACAAUGCAGCUGCCCGGGGACACAGGG